rnacentral:rRNA from 1 species
AUUGAACGCUGGCGGCAUGCUUUACACAUGCAAGUCGAACGGCAGCACGGGUGCUUGCACCUGGUGGCGAGUGGCGGACGGGUGAGUAAUGCAUCGGAACGUGUCCUGAAGUGGGGGAUAACGCAUCGAAAGAUGUGCUAAUACCGCAUAUUCUCUGAGGAGGAAAGUAGGGGAUCGAAAGACCUUAUGCUUUUGGAGCGGCCGAUGUCUGAUUAGCUAGUUGGUAGGGUAAUGGCUUACCAAGGCGACGAUCAGUAGUUGGUCUGAGAGGACGGCCAGCCACACUGGGACUGAGACACGGCCCAGACUCCUACGGGAGGCAGCAGUGGGGAAUUUUGGACAAUGGGCGCAAGCCUGAUCCAGCAAUGCCGCGUGAGUGAAGAAGG